UCAAAAUGUGCAAAACAAAAUAAAAUUAGAAUAAAAAUAUUUAGGUCUAACUGAGUCUGAAAAUUCUUAAAUAGCUGAAACUAAAUUCUAAAAUCAGAGUAGUGCUGUGACAAAAAAGAUCAAGGCUCUUGAAAUCUCAGCUGUGCAGUUGUGGCAGUUAGCCUGUGGUGGUGCUCUAGUUCCUAUGGACUGUCAUGUGAUUAACGUAGUAGCAACCAUUAGCCAUCAGGUGGCACUGUUAGUUAGGGCACUUACCAGUAUUCUUGACCCAGCACUCGCAAGGUACUCAGUGCUGCUAGCACAGGAAGAGAUGAAGUGGACUAUUUGGCCCAUAAAAAGUACAUGGGGCUUGAGUUCAGUGACUGGAAAUCACAGAGGAGAUAGGGCAGGGAGCGGAGACCGAUGCUGAGCACUGCAGCCGCUUCUGCGGGACAGGACGACCCCUAUGUGUCCCUGCUCAGAGACAGAGCUCCCAUGAGACACAGAGAGAGGAUGAAUACGCUCUCCUUGCCCCACACAGUCUCCCCCAGCCCACCCCCGUUUUCUCUCCAUCGCCCGAACAGAGUCUGAAGCUGCCGCACUCACUGGCUGCAACGGUAAUUGGAACAUAAUGGAACAUUUUUGCAGACUGAACUGAACCCUUUGCCCUUAUCACCUUCUGAACCGCUCGCAAAAUAGGCCCACAUUCCACGGCCUACUGCGCGAGUACACACACCUCUCAGUGCUGAUUGACCACUUUGGUCAGGCAUCAUACAAGCACAUUUCACGCACUGUACCUUCAUACACCAAAUAUGAGACACACACCAAAUAUGAGACACACACAUGCUUUUCAGAGUUUGUUUCUUAACUUUUUCAUGAGAUUUUAAGAAAGAUCACAAAAUACAUUAUGUAUAUAUAUAUAUAUAUAUAUUUAACGCAGCAUCCGUUUUUUUUUACUUUUUUUUUUAUUAAAUUCUUUAUGAUUGUAUUAUACUACACAAGAUCCACAAUUGAGAGUUGUGGCUGUAUAUAUGAAUAUGGAAGUGAGUGUAUCAUGACCUCUCCAAGCGUCCCACCAACCAGCAGCUGAAUCAUAGGUGACAGGAGACCAAGCCUCAUCUGGCCCCACCCCUGCGCUCAAUGUCAAUUACCCAUCAUCCUAUCAAACUUAGAUCACCCUUUCACUGCCGGCUCAUUCUGAUAUCUUCGCACUCCCAUCUCAAACCAAGGAACAGGGGUCCAAACUCAGUGGCCAACACAGAGUCUGCCCUCACUGUUGUCCCCCAUUACAGUCACUUCAUUUGUAAAUUGGCUUUUACAUGUAGCGUAUCCCAGCUGAGCCUCCCCCUGCCCGUCUCCCUAAAGGACCUAGUCUCAGACUGGUCACCACCGCACUCAGUCAAUCAGAGAACCCACCAGGGACACCAAAUCGCCUCUUUCUGUCUGUGUUUUGUUUGUUCUCUUUGCCUCAUGACACAAACAGACACUCAGAAAGACUUCAGCAUUUCACUCUGUUUUGACGCACAGAGGCCACUACAUUGUCCUACUUUUUGUCAAAUCAGUUAGGCUUGUUGGUCAUUUUAAGAUCUUUCGAUCUAAUGAACAAAAUAAGCUCACGCAAUUCACAUAUGAACGCGACCAGAGACAAUGGAAAAACAUACAGAGAGCAGCAGCUUUCAUUUUUGCUCUGACAGCCGUGCUAGAAAUCAGGAAUGGUGAGAGAAUACUGUGCUUGGUACGUUUUUCAUCUUCAAACCAAACUUGGGUCUUCAGCCGACAAAGUUUAAAUCCUGUCUGGCAUGUAAAUAUUGUCUCAUUCUAAACUUGAAAAAAAAAAAAAAAUCCUGUCUGGCUAGCUCACUUCCCAUAAUGUUUACACAUUAGGUCAGCAGGCGGUCUUUUGUGGCUGUUUGAAUGCAAUCGGCCACGUGAGCGUUUACACUACGAGAGCAAUCCGUUCUAAUGCGUUUUCGACUACCUCUGGAAGUGGUCAAAAGUGGACGAGCUCAAAACCUUUUAGACCCCGCUACUUGUGAUCCGGUCGGCCAAAACACAUCUUAAUAUCGGGUGUAAACAAAUCGGAACAAUAGAAAAUUGGAAGAAUAGUAAAAAUUACAAAUAUGUACAUUCAAAAAUUUGGGGUCAGCAAGAUUGAUUUCUGAAGGAUCAUGUGACACUGAAGACUGGAGUAAUGAUGCUGAAAAUUAAGCUUUGCAUCACAGGAAUACAUUAAAUUUUAAAAUAUAUUAAAAUAUAAAACGGUUCUUUUAAAUUGUAAAUUGUAAUAAUAUUUCACAAUAUAACUCUUUUACUGUAUUUUUAAUCACAUAAAUGCAUAAAUAAAUGACUUGGUGAGACUUAUUUUAGAAUCUUACUGACUGCAACCUUUUGAACAGUAGUGUAUUACCUGUUUAUAUAUAUAUAUAUAUGGAAAUACUUUUACAUUUUAGAUGCUGUCAAUAUGUUCAGAUAUCCAAAUGUUCAAAAAAGUACAGGUAAACUAAACUAUAUCUACAAAUACCUGAAAAGGUACACAAACAUCUAUUUUAAACAAUCUAUUUACAGCCUCUUUUUCAUUAGCAGGCACAAAAAUCUAACGCUUUUUUUUUUUUUUUUUUUAAUUAGGUUGCAACUGCAAGUAACAUGGAAGACACUGGAAGACAAAGCUUUCAUAAGCCUUAGAAGUAGCUCAUCUAAUCAGAUUUUAGUAUGUGCAUGUGUUUUAACCCAAACAGCUAUGUUUACAAAAAAUUAGAGUAGAAAGAAACAAUACACUGAAUUACUGGUGCUAUUAUUAAACUUUCAUCAUGGCUAUUAUCAUAUAAUAGGGUCAUAGUGUCUUCCCUAUGAUUACUAAAGUAGUGCUCAAACUAUUCAUUCAUAUAUUAACAUAUAUGCAUUACUUGCAGUUGUUAAUUUCUGAGUGAUACUAAAAAUAGUUCAUUUUAUGAAUCUAUCUCUCUCACGCACGUGCACGCACGCACACACAAAGGGUCUCUUUGUUGAUGAGUACCAUGUUAGAAUAUCUCUUUCAAUCAAACAGUUAACCUGCAGCCCCACAUCUAUCACACUUUCUUAUGGACAAACUCAAACACUCCACAUUGAUUGUCCAUCCAGUCCUUCAGCCUUGGAUAGUCUGGUUCCAGCUGAAGCUCUUAAUAACUGAGAAGGCCAAACAUGAGGGCCUGUUGGCUGCAGCCGUACCCAUCAGCCCCCUCCCACAGACCCCCGGACUAACCCACAGGCCUCUGUCUGCUGCUGAGCUUUGGAAACAGCUGUGCAGUCAUAACAGAGUGUGUGCCCAGACUCAACUCAUGUUUUUUGUUGCUUCAAAGGCAAUCUGAUACACCAUCCCUUGAAACAUGCAGACACAGUCACACGCACAUGCUUGCCCACAUGUAUAUUCACAGUGUGCACAAAUUGUUCUAAGAUGAAAUGUUCAGGAUACCACUCCUCUGUCUUGCCAAAAUCUAAAAUCACAUAAUUAAGAGAAAUUCACUUUAUUUCAGGAUUAUUCCAAGUUUAAAGUGCAUAUAAACUGGAGAACAUUGGGAAGAUGUGCCUUUACCUACUGCAAAAAACUUACUUAUACAUACAAUUCACUUCAUUUUCCAACUGAAAUGAACACUGUGGUAGUAAAACAACAACAAAAACAUUUAUUACUUUUCACACAAAUUAUGAUAUGGGGGCAGAUUAUUGAUUAAUAAAUACAGUCCCUAACACAAUGACCUCAAAACACAUAUAGUGCAUGAUUUGAAAACUAAUCACAUAAUCAACUCCAUAUGUAUGGCUUUUCUGAGGAAGUAAACUUGCUCAGUAGAUCACCUGGUACAGCACUGCGAUGAGGAGUGCUUGGAUAUGAGUCCCAUGAAACAUGAGUCACAAUAAAAGAUCUCAAAGAGUUGUAGAAGCAAGAUAAAAUGGCAUGGUUGCUUUGAAAAACACUGAAAGUGUUGCAAAAGUGCAACAAGCAACACAAUAUUUUGCAGAAAUGAACCAGGGUUGAAACUGGAACAAGACAAAUAAAAAGCUAGCAUAUCAAAAAUCUAACUUUGCAUCUAGCUAAUAAAAACAUUAAAUUUAGAGACAUCGAUUUUAGGCUAUGUUAUGUGCAUGUGACUUAAAUUAGAAGAAAAUGGCAUGAAAUUGGUGAGAUUACUUUGCAGAGUGAAUUGUAAGUGCACUUUAAAGGGCUGAUUUAUGCCUUUUACAGGCUUACAGGACUUGCAGAAGCUCCCAAUAAUUUUCAGUGUUUAAUUGGUUUCCGUUGGCUCGAGUUCAUUAACUGCAGGUAACUCAUAUUAGAUAAGCUGGUGUGAGUUUCAAAGCCUUGACAGUUUCAUUUAAAUAAAGCUACCGCUGACAAUGAGAUACCAAAAGUGUGACGUUCCCCUUAGAGGGAAGGCACCCUGCUGUCUCUAAAACAAACAGUUUUUUGUAUGUUUGUCGGAUGAGGGAACAAGUACAUUAACUUUCAUUUUACAUUGAGUAAAUAUAACAAGGAAUAAUGGAAUUUACUACAGAGCCACUUAUAUCAAGAAAAACUGCACCUAGGGGGCAGUAUUUUCAUUUACUACCUCAUUGGGAGCACAUGAAGUAUGGCCUAAUUCGACAAUUUUACCUCAUGUAAAACAUGUCUUUAAACCCAUUUCUUUUAUGCUAUUUCUAAAUUUUAUCAGUACAUAAUUGCAGAAUUUACAACUAGGGAGGACAUUACAAGAAAAAAAAAAACUUUUAGCUAAGAGCCUACCAAGAUGGUGGCGCACUUGUAUUGCUACGAAUGGGAGAAACUGCAACACGCAAUAUGGCAGCUUCAGGGCAGCUCUAGUAAUAUUUUAAAUAAAAGAGCCAAUCAGCAACUCAUUGAUGCCUUACCGCAGCUGGCGUUAAAAGUGUGGGUUCUCAUAGAAACUUGAGAAUCAUGCUUAGUACUGUACAUGCGCAUUGGCAGGACCAACCUGAAAUAUAUGCUUUCUUAACGCUAUUUGAACGUAAGAAAUAACAUAUUUGAGACAGUUAAUGCCGGAUUUUAUUGCCGAAUUGAAAUAUUUUAUUUAAAUGUGAAUUUGGCAACAGUUAUUUCCCCUUUCAAAUAGAUGGAGUUGGUCUUGCAUGCCCAAAAUAGCUGCCCUGGAGACACUGCAAAUAUGGCCGCCGAGUCAACUGACCUUCCUUGAAAGGGACUUUAACUAAAACUAGUUAUACGAUCAUUAGUGUAUCGCUAAUUUCACCUUCUACAAUGAAUUCACCUAAUUCACAAUGAAGCGGCUUUCUCAAUUGGGGUCUAAAAUUUAGGACACACUUCUUUUGUCUAACGGAUGCAUUAAACAUGUGCAAACCCAAUGAAAUGUCAGCAUUAAUCUCUAAUGAACAACCCAAAGACAAAUCGCUAGUUUAAACAAAGCGAAACGCUUGUAGAAGCAGCAUGCUAGGCUUUCUUUUGCGCUCUCUCCCCUCCCUCCCUCCCCCAGCAAGUCGAACACAUAGGGAGAGAAAGGGAGAGAUAGAGCGAAAUACCGAGAACGCAGGCACACAAAGGCAGGCGCUAGCUUUCCAUCGCUGGCUUACUAAUCGGCUCCUUUGUUGUGCUCGAUGCAUGCCUGUCCCUGUCACAUGACCGCGUUUCCAUGGCUACCGAGGUCUGAGUAAUCAUUUGCGCAAUGACCUUUAUUCCCUUGAGGGAAGAGGAGGGGGAGGUUAGAAUGAAAGCAGAGCCAGCAAAAGCAGGGAGAGGCGGGGGGAGGAAGGGAGGGUGGAGAACUGGUGAGCAGCGGAGCGAGGCAGUGGGGACCUAGACAAGAAAAAGAGGAGAAGGAAAAAAGCAAACUGAUUUUCUCUUAGCAGUACUGAGAAGAAUCCGUUGGGUUUGGUUAGAUAACGAACAGAGCGCGCAAAAACAGGCUGAGAGGGAGAGGAGGGAACGAGGGACGCAGCGGCGCUAGAAGAGAUAGCUAGAGAUAGAGAUGGGCCAACUGUGGGAAAAGAGGAAUGAGCUUUGCGCUCAAGCCGCUUGAAUGAAAGAACCUUAUAAACCCAACGGCAGCCUUUCUAUGGUCUGAUGGUUCCCACGUUGAAGAAUAACAUGCUGGCAGCAAAAGCUAUUGCAGAUCUGAUGGCAUACCAGCGCUGGAUACGGCUUGAGCUUAAAACUAAUAGUCUACCAAUGACUGCACAAACUCUGUCACGAUAAUCACUUCUGAAAUCUCCCACACAUGAACGUUAUGCCUCAGAGAUGAAUAAUGAUCAUGGUGGAAUACAUGCUAAACGGUUACUGCUGAUGAGCACCUUUGUUUACAUCUACUCCCCAGUUAUGUUGUAGCCGUCACACAGAGUGAGCCCGGCACGGAUGACACAUGCUGACAGUAUAAGCUCAGUCAUGUUUGGGUCACUGAGUUUCUCAUUUAUUCUCUUUUUCGCUUAGUUGUUUCUACUUUGCCCUUUCCUGAUGAGUAUUAUGCUAAUGUUUUUGUGAGAAAAUUCAGUUAGGAGCUCUCUUCGCAAACACACAGAUUCAAGAGCACCUCCUAUUGUUUCUUUGUAGCUUUUAUAUGAAUACAGUAUGGAGGGUUCAUAAACCCAGCUUUUUUGGGGAGACAGAAGUGUCUGUUUAUUCCUAAGAGAUCCCAGUAUUGCUUUGAUCAUUUCUUAUAAUUGAAGUUUCAAUAACCUGAAUGCUGCUACAAUUCACACUCCUUCCUUUAGGGGGCAGUAGUCUACUUUUCGGACUGCUUUCUUAAUGGUUUUUCGGGCCAGUGGAAGAGAGGGUAUAGUAUUUGUUUGUGUGUGAAAAUGCUGCCAUGAGGGCUUGUAGUUUCACUCUGAUGUGAAAAAGCUUUACUACUGUAUCAAAGUGUAUUUUGCUUUUUUUUUUUUUUUAAUAAAUUUGAAGCCUAACAAAGAAUAACAUUGCAAAUGCAAUUUUUCUUAAAUUUAUCUUCAAAAAUAUCUAAAAGAAGUAAAAUAAAAGUGAAAGAUUAUCAAAUAACAGCUCAUUAAUUUUUAUUAUAAAUCAAAAUUUUCUCUAGGACACAAUAUCAUUCCCUCAAGACACUAUGAGUACAAUACAACUAGAGUUUUACUCUUAAAGAGUUUCUGUCAUUUACUCAUGUCGUGACCCCACUGACUUUCAUUGUAUGGACAAUACAAAUUAUUUAAAUUAUCUUUUGUGUUCUGCAGAAGAAAGAAAAUGCAGUUUUGGAGUGACACAAGGAACAGGAUACAGAGGCACUUUGUUGUCCUCUGUAGAGCUUUGACUGCUGAUAGUAAGCAGACCACUGUGCCGUUCAGCCUUCGGCAAGGACAUCUUCUCGAAGAUCAUAGAAACAUAAGGAUUCACCAUGCAAACCUCAAGAGAAUGAACAGCACCUUCGUUGAACACCAAUCAGACACACUAUGGACACACCAAAACACACACUUUCUUUCUUGCUCUCUAUCAGGCUCCUUGACAAACACAUGCUCAUUUUCUCCACACACACACACACACACACACACACACACACACAAGCAUCCACUCUCUUCCAUACAAAUCACACAGACAGACACACACACACACACACACACCUCUACACACAGACUCUGCCUAUCUAAAAAGACACACCAGCCAGCUGGGACACUCAGUAAAAGAGAGAGAGAAAGAAGGAGGGGAAAAUAUUGGGCAGGAAGUAGCACGGUUGGAUGUUUGAUGGGGUCGGCAAGACCGUUAAUCACAGAAAUGGUUCUGUUAGCCAUGACAGCUGAAUCCACCGCAAAGCACACAGGACGACGCUGGCACACACAUGACGUCAUCCUUCCUUCCAGAUCCCCUGGAUUAAUAUUCCAAUAAUAGGAGAGAAGGGCUGGCUGAAGGUUGAGACGACAUCCCUCCAUGCAUUACUCACCGUUUCACCACAUGACCUGGGCAACCCAGCACUCUCAUGGCUUGGAGUGCUACACAGUGAAGUGCUUAUCAUUUCCAGUGUCCAAUAUCUAAUAUAGACUCUACUGAACUGUUAUUUGUAGUGGUAAGAUGCAUCUUUAUAGGUAUUAAUAUUGAUUAGUAGCUUUGUUGGUGCAUAUAUGUAAGCCUUCUGUUAUGACUUAUAUACCGCUAUUAAAUCACCAGGGCAGCUUGAUAAAUUGUUGUUUUUUUUUAAAUUGUAGUUAUAACCACACCUGCUCAUAUACAAGAAGGUCUGCAUAAGGAACCAUUCAUUUACAUUGUUGAGGGUAAGCUCACCUGAAGGCCACCCCUCCUCCAACACAUUUGCUGUGUUUUCCCCCCCGUCCAUGCUGCUCCUGCAGCUGUCGACCCCCUCUGACCUCCUGGUCCAAUCAAUAGCUCUCCUUUAAGGCCUUCUGCUGGAAGGUAAUUGCUAGUCUAAGUUAC